rnacentral:rRNA from 1 species
GACGAACCGUCCAAACGUUAUUCGGAAUUAUUGGGCUUAAAGGGUGCGUAGGCUGUGCAGUAAGUUGGGUGUGAAAUCCCUCGCUCAACCGAGGAACUGCGCCGAAUACUGCUGUGCUAGAGGAAGAUAGGGGUAAGCGGAACUGAUGGUGGAGCGGUGAAAUGCGUUGAUAUCAUCAGGAACACCGGUGGCGAAGGCGGCUUACUGGAUCUUUUCUGACGCUGAUGCACGAAAGCUAGGGGAGCGAACGGGAGUUAGAAACCCCA